rnacentral:rRNA from 1 species
CUUGGUGAUUUUCGCGGCGAGGGUACACCUGGUCCCAUCCCGAACCCAGUAGUUAAGCUCGUCAGCGCCAAUGGUACUUGGAGGGUAACCUCCCGGGAGAGUAGGUCAUUGCCAAGG